rnacentral:tRNA from 1 species
GAUCCGGUAGGCGGGACGGUCGGACGGGCCGCCAUCGAUGCGGCGCGGUUCGUCACACAGGCCGAUGCCGGAUCAUUCUGGCGCGGCUCCCC